AAUCAGCAUUACAGGAUGUGACCAAUUAACAUCAUAUCCUAUUCAUGCCGUUCUGUUCUCAAGUCACUCUUUGGCUCUCUUAAUUAUUUUUGCCAGCAACCAUAUUUCGUUUUCAAUUGUGUGUUUAAAAGCCAAGAAUUGCAAUCCUUUUUCCUCCACUCUUAGUUCAUAAUUCCAAUUCACAAAAAUAUGUCCAAGAAUCUCGCAUCCCUCACCACCACUAUUGCAGCACUUGCAACAAUAAUGUCCCUCAUCAUCGUACCCUCAUCAGAAGGUCGUCCCAUCCCCUCAUUCGAACUAAUUCCAGAAUUCGCCACUAAUCAUAAUAACGAUGGAUCAUGUGAAGGAUCAGGAAAAGAAGAUUGCUUGAUUAGAAGAACUUUACAGGCUCAUACGGAUUACGUUUAUACUUGUGAUAAUCCAACCAAACCAUAAACUACACUGUCGAUAUUUUCUUUUCUUUGAUUAUUACUUACACUUUCGUAAUAAAAAUAAAGUAAUUUAAUCCUUCA